rnacentral:rRNA from 1 species
UACGAAGGGUGCAAGCGUUAAUCGGAAUUACUGGGCGUAAAGCGUGCGUAGGUGGUUUGUUAAGUCAGAUGUGAAAGCCCUGGGCUCAACCUGGGAACUGCAUUUGAUACUGGCAGGCUAGAGUGCGGUAGAGGGUGGUGGAAUUCCCGGUGUAGCGGUGAAAUGCGUAGAGAUCGGGAGGAACAUUCGUGGCGAAGGCGGCCACCUGGACCAGCACUGACACUGAGGCACGAAAGCGUGGGGAGCAAACAGGAUUAGAUACCCUGGUAGUCCACGCCCUAAACGAUGCGAACUGGACGUUGGUCUCAACUUGGAGAUCAGUGUCGAAGCUAACGCGUUAAGUUCGCCGCCUGGGGAGUACGGUCGCAAGACUGAA